AUAUUAAAUGGCAGGGAAGAUACCAUGAACAAGAAGAUGGUUUCCCAGGGCAAAGCCCCCCAUUGCACUGUGGGUGUGCCGAUUGCUGUGAAUUUUUUUGAAUAUGGAAAACUUGACUAAAUCAUUUAUGAUAGUGGGAGACUGUGUCCAUACUCUCCCC